UGGCGGACGGGUGAGUAAUGUCUGGGAAACUGCCUGAUGGAGGGGGAUAACUACUGGAAACGGUAGCUAAUACCGCAUAACGUCGCAAGACCAAAGAGGGGGACCUUCGGGCCUCUUGCCAUCGGAUGUGCCCAGGUGGGAUUAGCUAGUAGGUGGGGUAAAGGCUCACCUAGGCGACGAUCCCUAGCUGGUCUGAGAGGAUGACCAGCCACACUGGAACUGAGACACGGUCCAG
rnacentral:rRNA from 1 species